rnacentral:rRNA from 1 species
AUCUACCUAGUAGUACGGAAUAAUUGUUGGAAACGACAACUAAUACCGUAUACGCCCUACGGGGGAAAAAUUUAUUGCUAUUAGAUGAGCCUAUAUUAGAUUAGCUAGUUGGUGGGGUAAUAGCCUACCAAGGUAAUGAUCUAUAGCUGAUCUGAGAGGAUGAUCAGCCACACUGGAACUGAGAUACGGUCCAGACUCCUACGGGAGGCAGCAGUGGGGAAUAUUGGACAAUGGGCGAAAGCCUGAUCCAGCCAUGCCGCAUGAGUGAAGAAGGCCUUUGGGUUGUAAAGCUCUUUUAGUGAGGAAGAUAAUGACGGUACUCACAGAAGAAGUCCUGGCUAACUCCGUGCCAGCAGCCGCGGUAAUACGGAGAGGGCUAGCGUUAUUCGGAAUUAUUGGGCGUAAAGGGCGCGUAGGCUGGUUAAUAAGUUAAAAGUGAAAUCCCGAGGCUUAACCUUGGAAUUGCUUUUAAAACUAUUAAUCUAGAGAUUGAAAGAGGAUAGGGGAAUUCCUGAUGUAGAGGUAAAAUUCGUAAAUAUUAGGAGGAACACCAGUGGCGAAGGCGUCUAUCUGGUUCAAAUCUGACGCUGAAGCGCGAAGGCGUGGGGAGCAAACAGGAUUAGAUACCCUGGUAGUCCACGCUGUAAACGAUGAAUGUUAAAUAUGGGGAGUUUACUUUUCUGUAUUACAGCUAACGCGUUAAACAUUCCGCCUGGGGACUACGGUCGCAAGAUUAAAACUCAAAGGAAUUGACGGGGACCCGCACAAGCGGUGGAGCAUGUGGUUUAAUUCGAUGCAACGCGAAAACCUUACCACUUCUUGACAUGAAAAUCAUACUUAUUUC